rnacentral:rRNA from 1 species
AUACAGAGGGUGCGAGCGUUAAUCGGAAUUACAGGGCGUAAAGCGCGCGUAGGCGGCUUAUUAAGUCAGAUGUGAAAUCCCCGGGCUCAACCUGGGAACUGCAUCUGAUACUGGUAAGCUAGAGUUUUGGAGAGGGAAGUAGAAUUUCAGGUGUAGCGGUGAAAUGCAUAGAGAUCUGAAGGAAUACCAGUGGCGAAGGCGACUUCCUGGCCAAAAACUGACGCUGAGGUGCGAAAGCGUGGGUAGCAAACGGGAUUAGAAACCCCAGUAGUCC